UACGUAGGGUGCAAGCGUUGUCCGGAAUUAUUGGGCGUAAAGAGCUCGUAGGCGGUUUGUCGCGUCUGCUGUGAAAACUCGGGGCUUAACUCCGGGCCUGCAGUGGGUACGGGCAGACUAGAGUGCGGUAGGGGAGACUGGAAUUCCCGGUGUAGCGGUGAAAUGCGUAGAGAUCGGGAAGAACAUCGGUGGCGAAAGCGCUCUACUGGACCGCAACUGACACUCAGGGACGAAAGCUAGGGGAGCGAAUGGG
rnacentral:rRNA from 1 species